AGAGUUUGAUCCUGGCUCAGGAUGAACGCUAGCGACAGGCUUAACACAUGCAAGUCGAGGGGCAGCGAGGGAGUGGCAACACUUCCGUCGGCGACCGGCGCACGGGUGAGUAACGCGUAUGCAACCUGCCCUUCACAGGGGGAUAACCGGGAGAAAUUCCGACUAAUACCGCAUACGUCCUCCGGGGGCAUCCCCGGGGGAUGAAAGAAUUAUCGGUGAAGGAUGGGCAUGCGUGAUAUUAGGUAGUUGGCGGGGCAACGGCCCACCAAGCCCACGAUAUCUAGGGGUUCUGAGAGGAAGGUCCCCCACAUUGGUACUGAGACACGGACCAAACUCCUACGGGAGGCAGCAGUGAGGAAUAUUGGUCAAUGGACGAGAGUCUGAACCAGCCAAGUCGCGUGAAGGAAGACGGAUCUAUGGUUUGUAAACUUCUUUAGUGCGGGAACAAAGCGGCGUCGUGACGCCGGAUGAGUGUACCGCAAGAAUAAGCAUCGGCUAACUCCGUGCCAGCAGCCGCGGUAAUACGGAGGAUGCGAGCGUUAUCCGGAUUUAUUGGGUUUAAAGGGAGCGCAGGCUGCGAGGCAAGUCAGCGGUCAAAUGUCGGGGCUCAACCCCGGCCUGCCGUUGAAACUGUCCUGCUAGAGUUCGAGUGAGGUAUGCGGAAUGCGUUGUGUAGCGGUGAAAUGCAUAGAUAUGACGCAGAACUCCGAUUGCGAAGGCAGCAUACCAACUCGCGACUGACGCUGAGGCUCGAAAGCGUGGGUAUCGAACAGGAUUAGAUACCCUGGUAGUCCACGCAGUAAACGAUGAAUACUAACUGUUCGGAGGGCGACCUCUGAGUGGUAAAGCGAAAGCGUUAAGUAUUCCACCUGGGGAGUACGCCGGCAACGGUGAAACUCAAAGGAAUUGACGGGGGC
rnacentral:rRNA from 1 species